rnacentral:rRNA from 1 species
AUGGAAGGAUUAUUACAUUGCGAUUUUGCUCCUGGCCUUGCUUUGGCCAAUCAGGUGAGAAGAAAGUUUGGAUCAACAGUUCGUUUUUCUCCCUCUCGAGAUGCCAAAGAGUUCUUUUUGGUUGCGCCAUUCUCUUUGGACUCUUUUCCUCUCACGGUGGAUUCUAUUGGAGUUGCACUGCAAUGUUGCAUUGGAGGCAUUUGUUCUAGAUUUAGAGUGGUUCCCAUUUCCACACGAUCUUUUUGCUUUUCUGUGGCCAAUAACAAGGUGGGACACUUCAUAAAUGGGCUCAAGGGUCGUAUUUGGCCAGACUUUGUUUGCCAUUUCCACCUGUUUAAUGGACGUUUUACCAAAGCUCUUCACGUUGAUUCUCACUAG